rnacentral:rRNA from 1 species
GAUGAACGCUGGCGGCGUGCCUAAUACAUGCAAGUCGAGCGAAUGGAUUAAGAGCUUGCUCUUAUGAGGUUAGCGGCGGACGGGUGAGUAACACGUGGGUAACCUGCCCAUAAGACUGGGAUAACUCCGGGAAACCGGGGCUAAUACCGGAUAACAUUUUGAACCGCAUGGUUCGAAAUUGAAAGGCGGCUUCGGCUGUCACUUAUGGAUGGACCCGCGUCGCAUUAGCUAGUUGGUGAGAUAACGGCUCACCAAGGCAACGAUGCGUAGCCGACCUGAGAGGGUGAUCGGCCACACUGGGACUGAGACACGGCCCAGACUCCUACGGGAGGCAGCAGUAGGGAAUCUUCCGCAAUGGACGAAAGUCUGACGGAGCAACGCCGCGUGAGUGAUGAAGGCUUUCGGGUCGUAAAACUCUGUUGUUAGGGAAGAACAAGUGCUAGUUGAAUAAGCUGGCACCUUGACGGUACCUAACGAGAAAGCCACGGCUAACUACGUGCCAGCAGCCGCGGUAA